rnacentral:rRNA from 1 species
UGGGGAAUAUUGCACAAUGGGGGAAACCCUGAUGCAGCGACGCCGCGUGAGCGAAGAAGGCCUUCGGGUCGUAAAGCUCUUUUAUGAGGGAAGAUAAUGACGGUACCUCAAGAAAAAGCCCCGGCUAACUACGUGCCAGCAGCCGCGGUAAUACGUAGGGGGCUAGCGUUGUCCGGAAUCACUGGGCGUAAAGGGUUCGCAGGCGGAAUAACAAGUCAGAUGUGAAAGGCAUGGGCUCAACCCAUGUAAGCAUUUGAAACUGUAAUUCUUGAGAAGUGGAGAGGUAAGUGGAAUUCCUAGUGUAGCGGUGAAAUGCGUAGAUAUUAGGAGGAAUACCUGUGGCGAAGGCGACUACUGGACACAAAUCUGACGCUGAGGAACGAAAGCGUGGGUAGCAAACAGG